rnacentral:rRNA from 1 species
GAGGAUGCGAGCGUUAUCCGGAUUUAUUGGGUUUAAAGGGUGCGUAGGCGGGAUAUCAAGUCAGUGGUGAACGUUUGCGGCUCAACCGUAAAAUUGCCGCUGAAACUGAUGUCCUUGAGUACAGCAGAGGCAGGCGGAAUGUGCCGUGUAGCGGUGAAAUGCAUAGAUAUGGCACAGAACCCCGAUUGCGAAGGCAGCUUGCUGGACUGUGACUGACGCUGAUGCACGAAAGCGUGGGUAUCAAA